ensembl:snoRNA
AAACCUUAAUGAUGAUUUGCAUGUGAGUCCGUGUUUCACCUGAAGCCGAUGAUUAUACUUUCACUGCACUGAUGGGUUU